rnacentral:rRNA from 1 species
ACUCCUACGGGAGGCAGCAGUGGGGAAUAUUGCACAAUGGGCGCAAGCCUGAUGCAGCCAUGCCGCGUGUAUGAAGAAGGCCUUCGGGUUGUAAAGUACUUUCAGCAGUGAGGAAGGUGGUGUGUUAAUAGCAUACUCAUUUGACUGUUAGCUGCAGAGAAGACACCGGCUAACUCCGUGCCAGCAGCCGCGGUAAUACGGAGGGUGCGAGCGUUAAUCGGAAUUACUGGGCGUAAAGCGCAUGCAGGUGGUUUGUUAAGUCAGAUGUGAAAGCCCGGGGCUCAACCUCGGAAUUGCAUUUG